GAUGAAAGAGCGGUGCCUUUGGGAUCGGUGAGGGGGGAUUGUGGUUUUAUU
rnacentral:pre_miRNA from 1 species